rnacentral:rRNA from 1 species
GGUCAAGCGAGAAAGGGUUCAUGGUGGAUGCCUAGGAGCUACUGUACGAAGAAGGCCGUGGUAAGCUGCGAUAAGCCGGGGGGAGGAGCACACAUCCCGAGAUCCCCGGGUAGCCGAAUGGGGUAACCCGAUGCGUUAGACGAUGCAUCAUUCGCAUCUGAAUACAUAGGGUGCGAAGGGGAAACCCAGGGAACUGAACCAUCUCAGUACCUGGAGGAAAAGGAAUCAAACGAGAUUCCCCAAGUAGCGGCGAGCGAACGGGGAGCAGCCCAAACCUUCACCGUGUCAAGGCGUGAACCGUUGCGGUGGGGGUGUUGGAGGGCCUUUCUGGGCUCCUUUCACGGGGGGCCGCGAAGUCAGAAACCUGUUUUUUAGCGGAACGCCACUGGGAAGGGCGACCAGAGGGGGUGAAAGUCCCGUACGCGAAAAGAGACAGGCUUCGUGGGAGAGGUACCUGAGUACCGUGGGGCUCGAGAAACCCUGCGGGAAUCUGGGAGGACCACCUUCCAAGGCGAAAUACGGAAGUAGCUACCGAUAGUGCAGAAGUACCGUGAGGGAAAGGUGAAAAGGACCCCGAGAGGGGAGUGAAAGAGAAUCUGAAACCGUGAACCUACAAGCGAUCAGAGGGUGGGCGCGCGCAAGCGCGCUGGCCUAAUGGUGUGCCUAUUGCAUAAUGAACCGGCGAGUUACUGUAUGCAGCGAGGUUAAGGCAUAGGAGUGCUGGAGCCGCAGGGAAACCGAGUCUCAAAUGGGCGAUUCAGUUGCAUGCAGUAGACCCGAAGCUGAGUGAUCUAUCCAUGGCCAGGCUGAAGCGCUGGUAACACAGCGUGGAGGGCCGAACGGUAGUCCGUUGAAAAGGGCACUGAUGAGCUGUGGAUAGGAGUGAAAGGCUAAACAAACUCAGAGAUAGCUGGUACUCCCCGAAAUAGCUUUAGGGUUAGCCUUGCGUUGAGUGUCGCGGAGGUAGAGCACUGGAUGGACUAGGGGUCUUUACGGGCUACCAAACCCAACCAAACUCCGAAUGCCGUGACAUGGUGCGCAGGAGUGAGACUACGGGCGCUAAAGUUCGUGGUCGAGAGGGGAACAGCCCAGACCGUUGACUAAGGUCUCAGAUACCAAGCUAAGUGGAAAAGGAAGUGCGAUUGCCAGGACAGCCAGGAGGUUGGCUUAGAAGCAGCCAUGCCUUGAAAGAGUGCGUAACAGCUCACUGGUCGAGUCGUCGUGCGCUGAUAAUACACCGAGGCUCAAGCUUGGAACCGAAGUCACGGCUUGCAGGUCUUACGACCUGCAGGGGUAGGGGAGCAUUCCGUAUGCUGAUGAAGGUGAGCUGUAAGGCUUGCUGGAGGUGGCGGAAGGGAGGAUGCCGGUAUGAGUAACGAAAAGACAGGUGAAAAACCUGUCCGCCGAAAGCCUAAGGUUUCCUGGGUAAAGGUAAUCUGCCCAGGGUUAGUCGGCCCCUAAGGCGAGGCCGAAAGGCGUAGUCGAUGGGAAACGGGUUCAUAUUCCCGUACCUCUGGCUUCAGAUGCCGAAGGGAUGACGCGUGAGGCGAUACCUGGCCGAAGAAUGGUAGUUUCGGUCCAAGGAGCGAGCCGUUGAGGGGCGCAGGCAAAUCCGCGCUCUGAGGUAAGCUUUGAAGGCGAGCGUAGCGGGAGCGAGGCGAAGCAGGUGGAGUCAAGGCGCUGAAAAACAAUCUCUAAGGGGUGGGAGCUGGGGACCGUACUGCAGACCGACACAGGUAGGCGAGAAGAGUAUUCUCAGGCGCUCGAGUGAUUCCGCAUCAAGGAACUCGGCAAUCUAGACACGUAACUUCGGGAGAAGUGUCGCCCUCAAGGGGUACGCAAGUGCUUCAAGGGGGUUGCAGUGAAAGGGCCCAAACGACUGUUUAACAAAAACACAGGUCUCUGCGAAUCUUUAAAGAGAUGUAUAGGGACUGACACCUGCCCGGUGCUGGAAGGUUAAGAGGAGGGGUUAGAAGCCGCAAGGCGACGAAGCUCUGAAUUUAAGCCCCAGUAAACGGCGGCCGUAACUAUAACGGUCCUAAGGUAGCGAAAUUC